ACCACCUGGCCCCGCCUGUCAUCUCUCUCGUCUAGCCGUGUUCUUCCUGGACACAGCGCCGAUCCGAUCCCUUCUGGAUUCGAGCCGAAUCUUCGCCCUUCUGCACGAUCUUCUCCGUAUAUAUACUCACCACUUUCCCCUCGCCCGAUUUUUUUUGGCAAAUUUGAGCUCUCCCGUGCCCUAGAACUCGCUGCUGGAUCUCGCCGGAGUUCGCCGCCGUCUGAUGCUUUUCGCAGGUCGUAUCCGUCGCGCCAGGAACCACCCAGCCGAGUGCUUCGACCUCGCCCCGACGAACACCGCUGCCGCGACUCCAGCCACCAUCUUCCAUCGUCCCCGCUUGCCACCGACGCCGUUGUGGACGUCUUCGAGACUGCAGAAAAGCUACGCGUCUCGUACUCCACCAUACGGAGUUCGGAGACCACCGGAGCAGGCGCCACCAUCGCCGCCCGAGGUGCCGGCGCCGUCUUCUUCAAGUCCGGCGACAAUCCCUCCUCUGUCCUCCGGAUAUUCAGGUGAUCAGUGAGAUACAGUAGGGUCGCGAGUCUUCACUCAACAUGUUCUCCAGUGGGCAUUGAUGGACUCAUCGUUUAUUAUGCUACCUUUCCGCUGGUAUUAUUGAAUAAAGCUAGCUAUGUGCUAUUCACUUUGUAAUACAUUAUAAUUUCUGGAUCAUACGUUUUA